rnacentral:rRNA from 1 species
CCUACGGGCGGCUGCAGUGAGGAAUUUUCGUCAAUGGGGGAAACCCUGAACGAGCAACGCCGCGUGCAGGAUGAAGGCCUUCGGGUCGUAAACUGCUUUUCUCUGGGACGAGCAAGGACGGUACCAGAGGAAGAAGCCCCGGCUAACUACGUGCCAGCAGCCGCGGUAAUACGUAGGGGGCGAGCGUUGUCCGGAUUUAUUGGGCGUAAAGCGUCCGCAGGCGGUCUUCUAAGUUUGGGGUGACAGUUCCCGGCCCAACUGGGGAAGUACUUCGAAAACUGGAAGACUUGAGGGCUUGAGAGGAAAGCGGGAUUCCGGGUGGAGUGGCGAAAUGCGUAGAUAUCCGGAGGAACACCAAUGGCGUAGGCAGCUUUCUGGGAAGUACCUGACGCUCAGGGACGAAAGCUAGGGGAGCAAACGGGAUUAGAUACCCGUGUAGUC